rnacentral:tRNA from 2 species
GCCUGGCUAGCUCAGUUGGUAGAGCAUGAGACUCUUAAUCUCAGGGUCGUGGGUUCAUGCCCCACAUUGGGCA